CCCCGGGCCUCCUCCACACGGCCUGCCUGCGAGGGCAGCCACCGCAGGAACUGAAACAGCCUGGAAAACCCCUUCAACCAAACCGCCAUGCUACAGAACAUUCUGGAGUUGUGGACUUGAAGGUUUGAUGGUUCUAAAAAACUGGAGGUGAAAGAAUGGGGAGGAUACCCAGCCAGGACAGUACUAAGGACAGGACUCUUUCCUUGGCUUAGGGGAUGGUAUGGACAGUUGUCUUUGUACCAAAAGAAAGCAAUAUAGGACCAAAAAUUCAAGACCUACUGCCUCAUUUGACAGACAGUGGAGACAUGUCAACAGUAAAGACACUCAAGCAUUUGGCAAGAAAAAAAUCAGUAAACUGUACAUGCCAAAUCUUCUACAGCUCCAGCAGUGUUCAUGCUCAUUCAUCACGACUGGACUAACACCCUACAAGGAGCAUGCUGAUCCUUGUGAAGAGCACAGGAGCACAAGUACCACACCAGCAGUGAGAAGAUGCAGGUUACUGAAUGGCCCAGCAGAGAAAGUCACUCAUGUUUGCUUGGCAUGCAAAUCACAUAUGGUCACACAGCCACACUGAUAACAAAGCCCAGAGAAAUUGAACAAAUGUGGAGGAAAGAAAUAGAAUAAUUUUCUCUAGAAUGCUUUAUUUGUGAACCACAGGAGUAAAAGGCAUUGUUGCUUCUUUUAUCAGGCACCCACUAGCAUUGACCCAGUCAGUAUUGCCUCACUAAAUUAAUGAAAUGAUUGCAAGUAAUAUUCAGAAGGAGUUUUGCUCAAGUUGCACAUCUUGCUGCCACAUCAAAUAUAACAAUGUGUGCUCCCUCAAAUAAUUACACUGUGCUCAUCCAUGCAGAAAUCUAAAAGCUCCCAACAAGCUUCUAUCUGUAAUUAAUAUUUCAAUAUAAAUUAUGAAUUUCUGGUAAGUCAUUUGAGCAACAUAUUGGCCUGCUUAUAAACUAUGUUCUAUUUAUUUGGCAUGUUCUAGAUGAAUACAAAUUGUGAACAAAAAGCCUUUUGUUGUCAAGCUCUACAAACGUGGAUUCAGUUACCAGCCGACUUAAGAACAAUUGAGAGCUUUUCCCUCUGCACAUCUGAAAACAGCACCAACAAUACCUCAUGACUGAAAGUUAUUGUACAUGUUUUAAUUGCUAUUUGCUUAGCUAUAUUCAUGAAUUGUUUGCUCUCAUGAUGUUUUCACUCAAAUCACAAAGCUUUUUAACUGCAUAUGAAUUUUGUGUCAAAAUCCUGAGCUCAUCUUCAAAAAAAAAAGUCUCUUUAAAAAAAAACCUCUCAACAGGACUAACUAGUCAUGUUUCUGCAGGAUGUGGUCACAGACAAAUAUUGACAUGUCCUGUUCCGUCUGCUUACAGAACAAAGCUUUUAAAAAUUCCAAUAAUGUAGGUAAUAAAAGAAUUAAGAGAUUUUAAAAAUUAAAUAAGACAUCCCAAGGAAGAAACCACCAAGUCAGCACAAUUCAGCUAAGGUAAGACUCAUAUACAUCACUUUAAUGAAUUCAUCAUUCAGUAGACAUCAAGACACAAAUACUCUCAUUACUUUGACUAAACAAACAUACAUUGAAACACGAGAAAGAGUAUUUUUAGCUAUUAAAUAUACAGGGGAAAAAAAGACCAAGAUUUUCCUUAUGUAUCUUUUUUAUCUAUGCUAGUAGUUUUAUCUACUUGUAGAAAAGAACCAAGAUCUUUGUUUUAAAAUUAGAUUUGUAUACAAAAGCCUCAAAAAAGACAAACAGAAUAAGCACACAGAGAAUUUAUUCACCCAAUGCCAGGAUAAAAUCUUGACUACUUCCUCAAGUUAAAUGACAGCAAGUAACACUUCAAAACAUUUUGGAAAAAUUAAACUACAAAAAAAAUAUACUUUUCUGUGUUUACUUCUCAGACAAAGGUGACUUGCAAUGGGAUGUUCUUCACCACAUUAGUAAGAUGUGCUGACAAUGCAAAAAGCUUUUUGGGUUUAGAGUAAAGCCAAUAUACCUAGCUUCUUCCUUCUUCAGCUUUUCUAAUUCUUUACACAAUACACUAGUUUGAGAGUAAAGUCAAAUUGCGCAGUCUUCUCAGCUGGACCUACGUACAUGUAAAACCUGCUCGAAAAAGCAGUUUCACAUACUGAAGCAGGAGCCAGAACUGAGCAGCUAUAUGCCUCCUUCCUCUUAAAGAUGUUCUCUCCUUCUCUGGCUCACAAAGUGAACAACCAGGGACAGAGAUAAAAAAAACCUGCAGCUUUCACAUCUGGUCAAAAGGCUCCUUUUGUCUCAUCUACUAAACAAGGAGAAGUGUGAAGUGUUCCAUAGGAGCAGCUAUUAGAGACUAGACUAUGUAAAUAAACAUUUCAGUUGAGAGGUAACAGAAUACAGAAGUAAUGCACUAUCAUACAGUGAAACUGAAUUGUCACAGGCAACCAUUUAGCAUAACAAAUUAGGAUCACAGAAAACUAUUUCAUAGAAUAGAUUACAGUCAACCAUUCCUUGUCAGAAGUUAGGGCUUCCUGAGAUACACUGAGCCUUGCAAGUCUUCCAAAACCCUCAAAGCAGAGAAUACUAACUACAACAUAACCA